GAGAGCUUGCUCUCGUAAAUUAGCGGCGGACGGGUGAGUAACGCGUGGGCAACCUGCCUAUAAGACUGGGAUAACUUCGGGAAACCGGAGCUAAUACCGGAUAAUUCAUAUCUAUUCAUGUAGAUAUGCCAAAGGACGGUUUACGCUGUCACUUAUAGAUGGGCCCGCGGCGCAUUAGCUAGUUGGUGAGGUAACGGCUCACCAGGGCAACGAUGCGUAGCCGACCCGAGAGGGUGAUCGGCCACACUGGGACUGAGACACGGYCCAGGCUCCUACGGGAGGCAGCAGUAGGGAAUCUUCCGCAAUGGGCGAAAGUCUGACGGAGCAACGCCGCGUGAGUGAUGAAGGUUUUCGGAUCGUAAAACUCUGUUGUUAGGGAAGAACAAGUACGAGAGUAACUGCUCGUACCUUGACGGUACCUAACCAGAAAGCCACGGCUAACCACGUGCCAGCAGCCGCGGUAAUACGUAGGUGGCAAGCGUUGUCCGGAAUUAUUGGGCGUAAAGCGCGCGCAGGCGGUCCUUUAAGUCUUGAUGUGAAAGCCCACGGCUCAACCGUGGAGGGCAUUGGAAACUGGGGGACUUUAGUACAAGAAGAGAAGAAGUGGAAUUCCACGUUGUAGCGGUGAAAUGCGUAAGAUGUGGAGGAACAC
rnacentral:rRNA from 1 species